rnacentral:rRNA from 1 species
CCUACGGGUGGCAGCAGUGGGGAAUAUUGGACAAUGGGCGAAAGCCUGAUCCAGCCAUGCCGCGUGUGUGAAGAAGGCCUUCGGGUUGUAAAGCACUUUCAGUGGGGAAGAAAGCCUUGGGGCUAAUACCCUCGAGGAAGGACAUCACCCACAGAAGAAGCACCGGCUAACUCCGUGCCAGCAGCCGCGGUAAUACGGAGGGUGCGAGCGUUAAUCGGAAUUACUGGGCGUAAAGCGCGCGUAGGCGGUCUGAUAAGCCGGUUGUGAAAGCCCCGGGCUCAACCUGGGAACGGCAUCCGGAACUGUCAGGCUAGAGUGCAGGAGAGGAAGGCAGAAUUCCCGGUGUAGCGGUGAAAUGCGUAGAGAUCGGGCGGAAUACCAGUGGCGAAGGCGGCCUUCUGGACUGACACUGACGCUGAGGUGCGAAAGCGUGGGUAGCAAACAGGAUUAGAUACCCCAGUAGUC